GGGCGUACGGUGGAUGCCUAGGCACUAAGAGCUGAUGAAGGACGCGACGAACAGCGAAAUGCCUCGGGGAGUGGUACGUACACAACGAUCCGGGGGUAUCCGAAUGGGGCAACCC
rnacentral:rRNA from 1 species